GACAGAGGGUGCAAACGUUGUUCGGAAUUACUGGGCGUAAAGCGCGUGUAGGCGGCCAUCUAAGUCGGGCGUGAAAUCCCACGGCUCAACCGUGGAAGUGCACUCGAAACUGGAUGGCUAGAGUCCUGGAGAGGAAGGUGGAAUGCUUGGUGUAGAGGUGAAAUUCGUAGAUAUCAAGCGGAACACCGGUGGCGAAGGCGGCCUUCUGGACAGUGACUGACGCUGAGACGCGAAAGCGUGGGUAGCGAACAGG
rnacentral:rRNA from 1 species